CCGUCUGAACUAAAUCGACAUCUAGGGCUCCGGCGAAGCUAGGUGACGAAGCAAGGGCGCGAGCGCCACCCCAGAAGUGAAGCAAGCGCGCGACCCCGGCAGCGAAGCAAGCGCACGAUCCCCCCGGCUAAUUAACCAAGUGCGCGACCCAGUGGCGAAGCAAGGGUGCGACCCGGCGGCGAAGCAAGGGUGCGACCAGGCGGCGAAGCAAGGGUGUGACCCGGUGGCUAAGCAAGGGUGAGACCCGGUGGGGAAGCAAGGGUGCGACCCGGCGGCCAAGCAAGCGGGUGACCCAGAGGCGAAGCAGGCAGGCGACGCGGCUAAGAAGCAAGGACUCCGGCGGCGAAGCAAGCUAACGAUCCAGGUGACGAACCAAGUGCGCGACCCUAAAGCAAAACAAGGGAGCGACCCAGUGGAGAAGCAAGGGCGCGACCCCAACGGCGAAGCAAGGGGGCGACCCCGCUGAGAAGCAAAGGCGCGACCCCAACGGCGAACCAAGCGCGUGACCUCGGUGGCGAAGUAUGGGCGCGACACUAGCG
rnacentral:lncRNA from 1 species